ACGGCGACUGCGCCGGCGUGUCCGUGUGUGUGCGCGUGUGUGUGUGUGUGUGAGUGUGUAUGUUAGUGUAUGCAUAAGCACUCGCAAUCGAAUCGCAUCGCAUCGCAUCGCUUCGCUUCGCAUUCUCGUGCAAUUUUGUUCUCACAUUGUUUUUGCUUCUCGCUUUUUUUAUCAGCGCGUGUGCCGCAUGCGCAGCAACAAUAAGAACCCUACCAACAACAGCAACAAGAACAACAACAGAAUUAAAAAGUGACGAAAACUAAUUCAAUAUUGAAAAUCGACGACCCAAAUCGCCGUCGCUCCCCACAGUAUUUACCUGACAUCAUCAUCAGCAUCAACAUCAGCAUUAUCAUCAUAACUAUAAUCAGUAAGAACGUCGGCAUUUGCGGUUGACAUCUUUACGGGCUUCAUUCAGAGCCAAAAAAGAAAAUAAAUAAAUAAAUAAAAUAAAAUAAAAUAAAUAAAAACAAACAAACAAA